UUGGGUUAAGUCCCGCAACGAGCGCAACCCUUAUCCCUAGUUGCCAUCAGGUAAAGCUGGGAACUCUGGGGAGGACUGCCGGUGAUAAACCGGAGGAAGGCGGGGAUGACGUCAAGUCCUCAUGGCCCUUACAUCCCGGGCUACACACGUGCUACAAUGGCAGGUACAGAGGGCUGCGAAGCCGCGAGGUGGAGCGAAUCCCAGAAAACCUGUCUCAGUCCGGAUUGAAGUCUGCAACUCGACUUCAUGAAGGCGGAAUCGCUAGUAACCGCGAAUCAGCAGGUCGCGGUGAAUACGUUCCCGGGCCUU
rnacentral:rRNA from 1 species